rnacentral:rRNA from 1 species
CGCUGUCUGCCCGUCGCGAGAAGUCCACUGAACCUUAUCAUUUAGAGGAAGGAGAAGUCGUAACAAGGUUUCCGUAGGUGAACCUGCGGAAGGAUCAUUG